GGGAACAGCCAGCAUUUCAGCGUUACAGACUCUCAUACAUUGGGCUACUAUUAUGAACCUAUUGCAUUGUACAUUAGUGCCUUAGCUAUAGUAUGAUUUCCAGCUUUAUCAUUAUUGUGAUUAAGUAACAGAUUAAUCCCUUUUGGGGGGUUUCCCUUAAUACUUAGCCAAUAAUAAGAACUGCCCAACAGUGUGAAGGAUAUUGAUAAUCAAAGGCAAUAUAAGCAAAAUUCUUAACAGCUCCAAAUGUAGCCACUCUAUGUUCUUUACACUAAGUAUAUUUGUUCUAGAGUAGCUAAUAUUUGAGAUGCAUGAACACUAGGGCUCCAAGUAACAAGUGAAUUCCUAUACUGACCCAGAGCAUGUGCCAGCGCUUCUGCUGUAGCAGCUAGUUCCAACAUAAAUGGUUAUGAAUAGUCAGGCUGAACCAACAUAGAAACUGAAGCUAAUGUCUUCUUCAAUUUAGUGCCUGCUUCAGUUAACUGUAGGUUUACACUAUCUUGUCUUAUGAUUUUAAUUGCAGUAAAUUAAUAAUUUAACAAAUAUUUUAGAAAUCAUUUUGCAAAAUAUUAAUACAAUGUUUACAGAAAAAGCGUAUUAUUAACUGAUUAAUGUGGACCUUUUACAUUUUUUAUCCCCCUCACUUGGAAAGUUAUGCCACAGGAAUAACAACUGAUUCACCUAAAGGAUGAACUGUUUACAACUUUUCCUCUCAGCAGGAUUACAUUAUUCAUCACAGUGGGAUUCUCUAUAUUUUGUGCUCUUCCAGAUUGACAACUGUGCUAUAGGGACUGCUAAGGUCACAUUAUAUAUUUUUGUGUUCAACAGGACAAACAUGUUUACAAUAUAUAACAAAAUAUGAAUAGCUUUACAAUUUAUAAACUAAUAAAGGUCUUUUAAUCUCUAACUGAAAAUGUGUGAUAUAAAAAUAUUUUUAUUUUGUGAUAAUUUAUGUUCACAUUUUUGUUACAAAUAAACAUAAAACUCAAAAGAAAAAUUUCAAGCUAGUUUCCAUUGUUCAGAGCCAGUCCAUUGUGGUCCAUCCCUCCUGCUGCCAUUCUGGGAUAGAACCACAUCAUCAUCCUAGUGAAGAGGGCUGUAGCUGUGGUGAUUGUCGAGGUGAAAGCACGGGCUUCGGAGAAGUCUGAAAGGACCAUGGAGAAACUACCGACUGGACUCAAAAGUAUUCUGGCAAACCAUUCAUUGUCUUAGUAGGGGUUUGUGGGAUGUUGCCCUGGCUGUUCUUAGCAAGGGUGGUGAAGCACUGACCUCGACUGAGGAGAGAUAGAAGGAGCACUUUGAGGAACUCCUCAACCUGGUGGACAUGCCCCCCUUUCAGGAGACAGUGCCAGAAACCCACAGUGAAAUCAGAUCUCUUUCUGUUUUUGAAGUUGCUACAAUAAUAAUGUGCCUUUGCAGCAGCGGUGUAUGAGAUUUGUCCAGAUAUCUGGAAAUCGGUGAACAAUGUCUAAGUAUUGUGGUUAACAUGUUGCAUGGAAGGCAGGGGCAAUAUCUUUGGACCUGAAAACUGGUACCCAUCUUUAAGAAAGGAGACCAGCGAGUGUAUUCCACCUUUGGGGGGAGGGAGGAGCAGGGAAGAGGGAAGAAAAAAAAAAAAUCACACUGCUCAGCCUCUUCAGCUAAGACUAUGGCAGGGUAUUGAAGAGGAGGGUACACCCAUUAUUUAAACCUUGGCUUCAGGAAGAACAAUGCAGAUUCAGUACCAGCCAUGGAAAAACAGACCAGCUCUUUGCUCUCAUGCAGAUGUUAGAGAGGUCAUGAGCGUUUGCUAAUCUGGUCUAUCUUUGUUUUGUAGAUCUGGAGAAAAUAUAUGACCAUAUUCUUGGAGAUGUCUUGUGGGAAGUGGUGCAAGACUAUGAGGUGCCAAUGCCACGUUUGUCCUGCUAUCUUGUCCUGCUAUUCAUGAACUGGUCUGAAAACACUCGGGAAUCCAGAAGGAGCUGAAAACUGUUGCAGAAGCAAGAAAAAUUAUAAAGAGAUGGUUACAUGAUACAGAACAUACAACAUAUAAAAUAAGACUGUGAGCUGAUGGACACAUUUAAGUUAUUCACAUUCCCAAGCUGCAAUUUUACUUGAACAUUUUCUCUGUUUCUCGCAAAACUUAACAUAAAUGUUUUCAUGGAUCUGGAUGGUGAGAAGAGUCCAACAACGUAUUUAUCCUUCCAUGAUUUAAACUCAAAACUUUUUAACAAACAAUUUGAGAGGUCUAUAAACCAAGAAAAUUACCAGUGGCCAGCAUUUUAACAGAAGAGUUCUCUGGGAUGAGAAGAGGGAGAACACAAAUCAAGCUCAUCAUUCUCUUCUUCUCAAAAAGGCAACUGGGGAGAGUGCAACAACAGGGCCAGUGUCCUUACAUUUUUAAAUUCUCUAUUUGGCAUAUUACGAUACAUUUUGUCUUCCUAUGACACGCAGUCUAUGUUUCUCACUCUCAUAAUACAGUAAGUGAUUUUUAUGAAGAACAAAUACUGAGGCUGCCACUUGCCCACAACUUUUUAAAUUCUACUUUUAACGGUUUGCAGGAUUAACUCCUUUUAACUUGUGUUUACGGGACAAGUUCAUUACAUAUAAUUCUUCAAUACAAACUCACUUUUUAAGGGAGUUUUUGUAUUUCCAGUUCACAUUACUCUUAAAAGUCUUUUCUACCACAUCAUCAGCUGCUGCCCUUCAGACUUUUCUAUCAUAGCCCCCUCUAUGGGAGAUAAUAAACUGUUUAACAUAGUCAUAAAGAAGGAAUGAGAACGUGUUUUCUUACCUUUGUUAUUUUCUUCAAUACCAUAACUAGGAGCUCUCUUCAACUUCCUAUGCCUUUUUAAUACUCCAAAAGUCUUAGGUCACAAUCCCAAAAAACCCAGAAUUGGCAAUAAGACAUCUUAGACUUUUCCACAUCCAGGGAAGCCAAUGUUAGAAGUGUAAAGUAGAACACAAGAGUCACAAGCCCAACCAAUUUAGGCGACCUCUGGCCUGUAUUUCUCAGUCCUGUUCCUUCAAUUUCUGAUCCAAUAUUUUUCCAAUUUAAGCCUUGUUCACCUUUCUCCAAUCAACAUUAAGCAUUUGUUUUAGGCAACCUGUACAAUAUGCAUGCCCAUGCUUCAAUUUACACAGCUUUUGCUGUUUGUCAUUUUUUUGUUCCUGAGUGUUCCUUGUAAAGAAGUUUCUUGUAAUUAGAGGUUUAUAUGCUUGUUACUAGGGAUGUUCAAAUCUAGGGGGAUUACAUGCAGGAGGGGGGAAGGAAUAGAUGGAUUCACAAAGGGCAAGUCAUGCCAGACCAAU